GUGUGUGUGUGUGUGUGUGUGUGUGUGUGUGUGCUUUCCAUAGCCCAACUUUUCAUGUAUGCAUGGAUGCAAACAACACAGGAUUUUAAAGUGCUGCUUGUGGCAUUGGUACAAAAAAAUGGCAUUUUUUCUUUUUUUCUUUUUUUGAUACACACGCUUACAGCCAUGUACGCAUCAAUUUUAAAGCACCAAGAAAUCCUGUCUGCCCUCUAAAAUAGGUGGGGGGGAAAUCUUUUGGAGGACAUGAAGUGAUUAAAAGCACUGGGUGUGUUUGGAAUGGCCCGCCGUGAUUCAUUUUUCCUGAAUUAAUUAGAGGAGGUUGCGCUAAAGGGGAUUUUCUCCCUCCUCCUCCUCCUCCCUUUCUCUUCUAUUGUGUUUCCUCAUGACUCUGUCCAAUCGCAUGACGGGCAUUAGCAGCUCUAAGUCACAUCAGCAAAUCCUCUCAGCUCCCUAUGUUGAGACUCUUGUCAGAUUUUCUUUUUUUUUUCAUGUCGGUUUGUCUUGUUUGUUUAGCCUUCUUUAUAUGAGAGCAAAGAAAUAAAAAAAAUUGCACGUCAGAUACUAGAUGAAAAAAACUUUUAUCAAAUGUAUAUUAAGCAAAAUACACAUGACUAUGUGAAUAAUGUGUGAUUACAGGUGAAGAGCGGGUGAGUGUAUUUUGAAUUGUAUGCCCUAAAAUUACUUACAACUUUACGUUUUGUCAUGUCACUAAUGUGUUCAAUACAGAUGCAAAAGGUCACCAUGCAAAUAUAUCGCAUAUGAAAAUAAAUGAAUGUGGAAAACUAAAAAUAAAAGAUAAAAAAAAAAAAAAAAA